rnacentral:rRNA from 1 species
GAUGAACGCUGGCGGCGUGCCUAAUACAUGCAAGUCGAGCGAAUGGAUUAAGAGCUUGCUCUUAUGGAGUUAGCGGCGGACGGGUGAGUAACACGUGGGUAACCUGCCCAUAAGACUGGGAUAACUCCGGGAAACCGGGGCUAAUACCGGAUAACAUUUUGAACCGCAUGGUUCGAAAUUGAAAGGCGGCUUCGGCUGUCCCUUAUGGAUGGACCCGCGUCGCAUUAGCUAGUUGGUGAGGUAACGGCUCACCAAGGCAACGAUGCGUAGCCGACCUGAGAGGGUGAUCGGCCACACUGGGACUGAGACACGGCCCAGACUCCUACGGGAGGCAGCAGUAGGGAAUCUUCCGCAAUGGACGAAAGUCUGACGGAGCAACGCCGCGUGAGUGAUGAAGGCUUUCGGGUCGAAAAACUCUGUUGUUAGGGAAGAACAAGUGCUAGUUGAAUAAGCUGGCACCUUGACGGUACCUAACCAGAAAGCCACGGCUAACUACGUGCCAGCAGCCGCCGUAA